GUUCGCCGUGAAAGGCCGUGCGCUUGUUAGCCUAAGCCGGACGAUUGAAGUUUUGAUAAAUGUUGAAGUGUUGUGCAUAUUGAAACGCUUAUCUUUUAUUUUCUAUUAUUAAACGCUUUCUAUUAUUUUGAUUUCCGCUGCUUUAUUUCAUUUUUUUUUGUUUUGAUUCGUGCGUUCCAAGGCUGAGUAAAGCGAAGCAAACAGUGCGCUACGAAAGAAACUUGCGGGAGGGGAUGUCAGUGCAGCGCAGCGCAACUCGUAAGAAUCAAAAGGGAGGGGGAACCAAUCCAGCGCAGUCCCUAUGAGACUGGGACAAAAGUGCAGGCGGUCAUCGAGAUACACGGUUAAUGGGGACCGAAAACGGCCGCAAAAUACCGCGUAUCAGGAAUUUCCGCAUUCGAUCAAAAGGGAAAUUAAUUAGCAUUUGACAAUGGAUGUGUCAAAUCAGCCUUCCGUCUUGCCGUCUUACCGUCUUCCCUCCCGCUCCAGCUGCUGGUACUUUGAUGAGCUGUCGUAGGCGCGGUAACAGCCUGAAGCGCAAAGCUUUGGGACCGCUCGAUGCCGUUCCUGCAACUACCGCUGCUAACCAGGCUGUCGUUCCCGUUGUGGACCCGGUUGUCGUUUCAGCUGAAGAAUCCGUCCCAUUCUCCGUAGUGGAGAAAUUGUUCACGGAAUUCGCGAUCGUCCGGUCUAAGCUGGAUCGAUUGGACGAAUCCGUCGAGGGGAUACGGGGGGAGCAAAAGAAGCAUCAUGCUGAAAUAUCAAGCAAAAUUUCGGCCAUCGCCAAGUCGGUGCACCUGGUCCGAAGUGCAGGUGGGGCAGAUCAAAAAAUCGUUCUGUGUUGGCCAAGAUGGCUAUGCUCCUCCUCUCCGAGGGCUUUACACUUACGCCCGUCACAACGGAGGAUGAGCUAAAUGCUUUAGAGCAGAAGCUGGGCGAUGCUGAGUGUAUGCGGGAUAGCUUAGCUUGGCUGCAGGCUAAGGUGUUCGACUCCGAGACACAAAAAACCCUAGACGAAGCAAGGAAUUUUUGCCUCGCUACAGCUGGAGCGGGAGCAAUGCAAAAGUUGCUAAAAAAUAUAUAGCAACAUUUUGCAGCUUUUUAAGAAGAUUGGGAGCACCAAUAAAGUUAUAAUAGCUCUCGGAUUUGCUCGAGAUUAUUUCGGGAAAAAAUUGCGGUACGCGUAUCAACUCGUGCCAAAAAAAACCGAACCCUGUAGAGGAUGGUGACGGUGGGCACAAUUUAAAUAUAAUUUAGCUUAUAUUAAUUUAGUCUAGUUAAGUAUUGAUUAGAUAGCUAUAGGUGACCAAUUAAGCUUAGUAAGUUGAGGUUUGCAUAGCAUAGGUAAGCAUCGUUUAGCAUAAUUUGUUAUUAAAGCUGAAUUGAACAAUUAAAACACGUAAAAAACUUGUUUGAUUUCAUAACGAA